rnacentral:rRNA from 1 species
UGGGGAAUUUUGCGCAAUGGGCGAAAGCCUGACGCAGCAACGCCGCGUGGAGGAUGAAGGUCUUCGGAUCGUAAACUCCUGUCAGUGGGGACGAAUGCUUCGCAAGAAGUUUGACUGUACCCGCUGAGGAAGCCACGGCUAACUCCGUGCCAGCAGCCGCGGUAAUACGGAGGUGGCAAGCGUUGUUCGGAAUUACUGGGCGUAAAGGGCGCGUAGGCGGUUUUGCAAGUCAGAUGUGAAAGCCCCGGGCUUAACUCGGGAAUUGCAUCUGAAACUGCUUAACUUGAGUCCUGGAUGGGGUAGUGGAAUUCCCAGUGUAGCGGUGAAAUGCGUAGAUAUUGGGAGGAACACCUGCGGCGAAGGCGGCUACCUGGACAGUGACUGACGCUGAGGCGCGAAAGCUAGGGGAGCGAACGG